GGAAUCUUCCACAAUGGGCGCAAGCCUGAUGGAGCAACGCCGCGUGUAGGAUGACGGCCUUAUGGGUUGUAAACUACUUUUAUCUGGGGAUAAACCUACUUACGCGUAAGUAGCUGAAGGUACCAGAAGAAUAAGCACCGGCUAACUCCGUGCCAGCAGCCGCGGUAAUACGGAGGGUGCAAGCGUUAUCCGGAUUUAUUGGGUUUAAAGGGUCCGUAGGCGGAUUAAUCAGUCAGUGGUGAAAUCUCAUAGCUUAACUAUGAAACUGCCAUUGAUACUGUUAGUCUUGAGUGAUGUUGAAGUUGCUGGAAUGUGUAGUGUAGCGGUGAAAUGCUUAGAUAUUACGCAGAACACCAAUUGCGAAGGCAGGUGACUAAACAUUAACUGACGCUGAUGGACGAAAGCGUGGGGAGCGA
rnacentral:rRNA from 1 species